rnacentral:rRNA from 1 species
UACAUGGGGUGCAAACGUUGCUCGGAAUUAUUGGGCGUAAAGCGCACGUAGGCGGUCUUUUAAGUCGGACGUGAAAGCCCCCGGCUCAACUGGGGAGGGUCACGCGAUACUGCUCGACUCGAAGGCAGGAGAGGGAAGUGGAAUUCCCGGUGUAGUGGUGAAAUGCGUAGAUAUCGGGAGGAACACCAGUGGCGAAGGCGACUUCCUGGCCUGUUCUUGACGCUGAGGCGCGAAAGCCAGGGGAGCGAACGGG